rnacentral:rRNA from 1 species
GACGAACGCUGGCGGCGUGCUUAACACAUGCAAGUCGAACGGAAAGGCCCCUUUGGGGUACUCGAGUGGCGAACGGGUGAGUAACACGUGAGUAACCUGCCCUUGACUUCGGGAUAACUUCAGGAAACUGGGGCUAAUACCGGAUAGGAAUCCUUGCUGCAUUGUGGGGGGUGGAAAGCUUCGGCGGUUUUGGAUGGACUCGCGGCUUAUCAGCUUGUUGGUGGGGUAGUGGCUUACCAAGGCUUUGACGGGUAGCCGGCCUGAGAGGGCGACCGGCCACAUUGGGACUGAGAUACGGCCCAGACUCCUACGGGAGGCAGCAGUGGGGAAUAUUGCACAAUGGGCGGAAGCCUGAUGCAGCAACGCCGCGUGCGGGAUGACGGCCUUCGGGUUGUAAACCGCUUUCAGCAGGGGCGAAGCUUGUGGUGACGGUACCUGCAGAAGAAGCACCGGCUAACUACGUG